rnacentral:rRNA from 1 species
UGAGGAAUAUUGGUCAAUGGGCGGAAGCCUGAACCAGCCAAGUCGCGUGAGGGAAUAAGGCCCUACGGUCGGUAAACCUCUUUUGUCCGGGGAGGCAAGGGCGGGGACGGUGUCCCGGCCCGGAGAGUACCCGGAGAAAAAGCAUCGGCUAACUCCGUGCC